CAAAAUUGUGGAUCGCAUUAUUUUGUGGUAAUAGAGAAUCAUAAUCCAUAAGUACAGAUUUCAAUAUAAACACAGCACUAGAAUUGAAAAGAAUAGGAGUAAUAAUAAGCCAUAAAUCAAGGGGUAAUAAACAUGAAAGCGUGUUAGAAUGGCCCAUCACACAAAUAGAAUAGGGUCCGCCGCAUAAUUACUCCACCGCCAUGUGAGCUGUGCGAGUUUCUCUCUCCCCCUUAUCUCUCCCACCACUCUCCCAUUCUCUUACAAAACACACACACAAACACACACUUCAACUCACUCAACUCCCUGUCCUAAAAUGACACCACAAUCUCUCUCUCUCCUCUUUCUCCUCAUCUGCAUCUCUUACACAACACUCCCAGUCUCAUCACAGAUCGAGACACUGGACUCGAAUCUGCAGUGGCCUUCAGCAUCAUCUGGCUACGCAGGAGUGGAGCUGGAGCUCGAUGAAGACCAAGAGGAUGUAAUAGACGGCGCGAGAAGAUCGCUGUACUGGAGAUCUAUGCAUUAUUACAUCUCCUACGGAGCUUUGUCGGCGAAUAGAAUACCUUGUCCAGCUCGGUCAGGGAGAUCUUAUUACACGCAUAAUUGCCAUUCGGCUACUGGUCCAGCUCACCCGUAUUCUCGAGGCUGUUCUGCCAUUACUCGUUGCAGACGAUAGAUUAAAAUCAUUAAUAUCGAUAAUAUGAUAAUUGAUUCCACUUUGUACUUGUGGUGUUUCAGAUUUGUGAAAUUAUAUGUGAUUACUGCGAGAUUUGGUUAUCAGAUCGAACGUGAGUAAUGAAUUGUACUGAUAGUAUGUUGUUAAUUGUAAUCAUAGAGUGAAAGUGAUUACUAAUGAUGAUUAUAUUGUACUGUGA